rnacentral:rRNA from 1 species
GGCGUGCUUAACACAUGCAAGUCGAGCGGAGAUUGCUUAUAUGUAAUCUUAGCGGCGGACGGGUAAGUAACGCGUAUGCAACCUGCCUUGCACAGAGGGAUAACACGGGAAAGUGGUGCUAAUACCACAUGAUAUCAUAACAAGGCAUCUUGAAAUGAUCAAAGGAGAAAUCUGGUGCAAGAUGGGCCUGCGUCCGAUUAGUUAGUUGGUGAGGUAACGGCUCACCAAGGCGACGAUCGGUAGCCGAACUGAGAGGUUGAUCGGCCACAUUGGGACUGAGACACGGCCCAGACUCCUACGGGAGGCAGCAGUGGGGAAUAUUGCGCAAUGGGGGGAACCCUGACGCAGCAACGCCGCGUGAAGGAAGAAGGCCUUCGGGUUGUAAACUUUUUUGAUUGGGGAAGAAAAAAAUGACGGUACCCAAGGAACAAGCCACGGCUAACUACGUGCCAGCAGCCGCGGUAAUACGUAGGUGGCGAGCGUUGUCCGGAAUUACUGGGUGUAAAGGGCGUGUAGGCGGGAUUGUAAGUCAGAUGUGAAAUUCCAGGGCUUAACUCUGGAGGUGCAUCUGAAACUAUAAUUCUUGAGUGCUGGAGAGGAAAGCGGAAUUCCUAGUGUAGCGGUGAAAUGCGUAGAUAUUAGGAAGAACACCAGUGGCGAAGGCGGCUUUCUGGACAGUAACUGACGCUGAGGCGCGAAAGCGUGGGGAGCAAACAGGAUUAGAUACCCUGGUAGUCCACGCUGUAAACGAUGGAUACUAGGUGUAGGAGGUAUCGACCCCUUCUGUGCCGGAGUUUACACAAUAAGUAUCCCACCUGGGGAGUACGGCCGCAAGGCUGAAACUCAAAGGAAUUGACGGGGGCCCGUACAAGCAGUGGAGUAUGUGGUUUAAUUCGAAGCAACGCGAAGAACCUUACCAGGGGUUGACAUCCCUCGGGAUACGGUGGAGAUAUGUCAGUCCUUCGGGGACAGGAGACCAGGUUGUGGCAUGGUAGUCGUCCAGUCGUGUCGUGAGAUGUUGGGUUAAGUCCCGCUAUCGUGCGCAACCCCUACUUGUUACGUUGCCAUUCAUUAAGUUUGGGCACCUCUAACUGAGACUACACGGUGACANAUCGCCCCAAGGCGCCGGACGACGUCAAAUCAUCAUGCACCUUAUGUCAUGGGCUACACACGUACUACAAUGGUCAAUACAAAGGGAAGCAAUACCGCAAGGAGGAGCAAAUCCCCAAAGGUGACAUCAGUUCGGAUUGUGGCCUGAACCAGCCCACAUGAAGUCGGAAUGGCUACUAAUGGCAGGUCA